rnacentral:misc_RNA from 1 species
AUGAAGGCUUUGUUGAGUUGAGUUAAUACUCACUGUAUCACAAGGCAUUGGUUCAUUUUAGAUUAAUCUGUUUCAUGCAUUUAUGAUUUUGAUAUGGCUGCAAACAAGCCUAGUUUUUCCCGGUUUGACUGAGUCGAGCCUGUUUUGGCUUAUACUUGGCUGUUUUAUUAAUCAAGCCUUAAUCAGUGGGCUCUUCUUGAGCCUUAAUGAAUAAUAUUUUAUUUAGAACUCAGAAAAUCAAAACUCCUGUAAAAGUUUUCAUUUUAGGCAAUUAAUUUCUGACCUCUCCAAAUAUUAGUAGUUUU